GACGUAGGUGGCGAACGUUUAUCCGGAUUUAUUGGGCGUAAAGGAUGCGUAGACGGUAAAAUAAGUUAUUAGUUGACGCCAAGCUCAACUUGGCUGAAGCUAGUAAUACUGUUUUGCUAGAGGAUGGGAGAGGUUGAUGGAAGUCUAUGAGGAGGGGUGAAAUCCGUUGAUCCAUAGGGUACCGCCAAAAAAAGGCGAAGGCAAUUAAACUAUUCCAUUUCUGACGUUGAGGCAUGAAAGCGUGGGGAGCAAACCGG
rnacentral:rRNA from 1 species